AAUCCAUGGUGCGGGCAUUUUUAAUCAACAUUUUAAACCGUUCUUAUGCCUCAUAGAAACUCUCUCCCUCAAUCUGUCUAAAAACAACAAUCUAUCUUUUUAGUUG
rfam:Gossypium hirsutum cultivar TM-1 chromosome 3, whole genome shotgun sequence